ensembl:misc_RNA 7SK 7SK RNA
AUAUUUUUAGGCGUCUCUCUUUCUCCUCUCCCUAACUGCUACAUGUGUGUCGCUCCCAAAGCUAUACACUGGGUCAGAGAGACCACCACCCGUGAUGGAAGAGUACCGUUUCUUCCGACAAGGAAUUCGAGUAGCUGCGCUCCCCUACUAACACCUCCAAACAAGCUCAAAAGUAACAUUAUAUAGUUAAAAGUAACUUUUAAAGAUUCAAUUAAAUGGAACUACAAAAUAUAAGAUGACUUUAUCUUUCUUAUCUU